GGGGAGAAAGGGAGGCAAAAGGAAGAUGGAAUGGGAGAGGGAGAUGAGAGGACGGGAGGGGUGUAGAAGAGAUCAGGAGAGAGGUUGGUGCGCCUAGGGUCCACAUGAAAAAUUGAAUUUCUUUUAGCGUUUUGAUUUGUAGGGGUGUUGACGCAAAAUCUGGGCUUCAGACUUCUGUGUUGGUAACAUGUGAGGACCUAGGAGAUCCGCUUAACUCUAGUGCACACUCCAAAUCGGUUCGCGAAGGUGCUUGGCGUGCCAAUCAAUUUGACCUGAAAUUGACAAGGUAAACGUUAAAUUCCUGAGACAAAUCAGCUCCAAAGCUUCUCAAACUCGUCAGUGGCGUUACUUUGAAUAAACACCAUUAAAAUCAUACUAUCGAUGUAAUCAUGUGGUGUAAGUAAAAGAAAGUAAUAAUGGCAUGUGCCAUCGGCUAUAUGAGCUAACGGGCUAAGAUAAUAGAAAAUUAAAGCAACAGCCAUUAAAGGAAAACUUGUCUACCACGUGCACGUCAAUUAAAUUAACAGAUCUAAUUAAUAUCAUGAGUCGAUAGAUUAGACUUAACCGAGACAGUAUGGCUAAGAGGGGAUUAACUUCAAUCUAUUAACAUAAAAGACUAGAACGUGGCAACAAGGCCUCGCAUGCGUAGCCAUUGGCUCGAUGAUAUCAUCUUACUACUAAGAGGGAUGGAUCAGACCUAACCGAGACAGCAUCGGCUCAACAGUAGUAGUCUGACAUCAAAAAUCCAAAGGCUAGCGAUACGAGGGGUAGGGGUAAAGAUCUAUCGGAUCUAGCAAAGGUACAGCAAAUAAAGUAUGAGAGAUCAAUCUAGGUGAUACGAUCAGAUAACUGGUAAACACUUAAACAAGACUUGGAAGCCGAUAAAAAUAACCUAGUCAGAUCUAAAACGUUCGAUAGCUGUGAGCACUUUGAAGACAAACAUAAUAUUGGACGAAGCCUAGAAAGUUCUAAUACAGAUAACGUAAUGACCGGAUGAUGGUACUUACAAGUUUGCUAGAGAUCGAAGUCGAUGCAGCCCUGCGCGCAAGAAGAAACUUGCUGGUUUCUACUCUACUCC
rnacentral:lncRNA from 1 species